rnacentral:rRNA from 1 species
UACGGGGGGGGUAAGCGUUGUUCGGAAUUACUGGGCGUAAAGGGCUCGUAGGCGGCCAACUAAGUCAUACGUGAAAUCCCUCAGCUUAACUGGGGAACUGCGUGUGAUACUGGAUGGCUUGGAUUUGGGAGAGGGAUGCGGAAUUCCAGGUGUAGCGGUGAAAUGCGUAGAUAUCUGGAGGAACACCGGUGGCGAAGGCGGCAUCCUGGACCAAUAUUGACGCUGAGGCGCGAAAGCGUGGGGAGCAAACAGG